GGAGAGGUGGCAGAGUGGUCGAAUGCGCUCGACUUGAAAUCGAGUGAGCCGCAAGGUUCCGUGGGUUCGAAUCCCACCCUCUCCG
rnacentral:tRNA from 9 species